rnacentral:rRNA from 1 species
ACGCUGGCGGCAGGCCUAACACAUGCAAGUCGAGCGGUAGGGAGAAGCUUGCUUCUCUUGAGAGCGGCGGACGGGUGAGUAAUGCCUAGGAAUCUGCCUGGUAGUGGGGGAUAACGUUCGGAAACGGACGCUAAUACCGCAUACGUCCUACGGGAGAAAGCAGGGGACCUUCGGGCCUUGCGCUAUCAGAUGAGCCUAGGUCGGAUUAGCUAGUUGGUGAGGUAAUGGCUCACCAAGGCGACGAUCCGUAACUGGUCUGAGAGGAUGAUCAGUCACACUGGAACUGAGACACGGUCCAGACUCCUACGGGAGGCAGCAGUGGGGAAUAUUGGACAAUGGGCGAAAGCCUGAUCCAGCCAUGCCGCGUGUGUGAAGAAGGUCUUCGGAUUGUAAAGCACUUUAAGUUGGGAGGAAGGGUUGUAGAUUAAUACUCUGCAAUUUUGACGUUACCGACAGAAUAAGCACCGGCUAACUCCGUGCCAGCAGCCGCGGUAAUACAGAGGGUGCAAGCGUUAAUCGGAAUUACUGGGCGUAAAGCGCGCGUAGGUGGUUUGUUAAGUUGGAUGUGAAAUCCCCGGGCUCAACCUGGGAACUGCAUUCAAAACUGACUGACUAGAGUAUGGUAGAGGGUGGUGGAAUUUCCUGUGUAGCGGUGAAAUGCGUAGAUAUAGGAAGGAACACCAGUGGCGAAGGCGACCACCUGGACUGAUACUGACACUGAGGUGCGAAAGCGUGGGGAGCAAAC